rnacentral:rRNA from 1 species
GAUGAACGCUAGCGGCAGGCUUAACACAUGCAAGUCGAGGGGUAACAGAGGUGCUUGCACUUGCUGACGACCGGCGCACGGGUGCGUAACGCGUAUGCAAUCUACCUUUUACAGGGGGAUAGCCCAGAGAAAUUUGGAUUAAUACCUCAUAGUAUAUAGACUUGGCAUCAAGACUAUAUUAAAGAUUUAUCGGUAAAAGAUGAGCAUGCGUUCUAUUAGCUAGAUGGUAAGGUAACGGCUUACCAUGGCUACGAUAGAUAGGGGCCCUGAGAGGGGGAUCCCCCACACUGGUACUGAGACACGGACCAGACUCCUACGGGAGGCAGCAGUGAGGAAUAUUGGACAAUGGGCGAGAGCCUGAUCCAGCCAUGCCGCGUGCAGGAAGACUGCCCUAUGGGUUGUAAACUGCUUUUAUACAGGAAGAAACACCUCUACGUGUAGAGGCUUGACGGUACUGUAAGAAUAAGG